UACAGAGGAUGCAAGCGUUAUCCGGAAUGAUUGGGCGUAAAGCGUCUGUAGGUGGCUUUUUAAGUCCGCCGUCAAAUCCCAGGGCUCAACUCUGGACAGGCGGUGGAAACCACAUGGCUAGAGUCCGGAAGAGGAGAGUGGAAUUCCUGGUGUAGCGGUGAAAUGCGCAGAUAUCAGGAAGAACACCAAUGGCGAAGGCAGCUCUCUGGGACGGUACUGACACUGAGACGCGAAAGCGUGGGGAGCGAACAGG
rnacentral:rRNA from 1 species